GACACAGGGAGGUAGUGACAAGAAAUAACAAUACAGGGCUUAAAGUCUUGUAAUUGCGAAUGUAUAGGGAAUCUAAACCCUUCCCAGAGUAUCAAUUGGAGGGCAAGUCUGGUGCCAGCAGCCGCGGUAAUUCCAGCUCCAAUAGCGUAUAUUAAAGUUGUUGCAGUUAAGAAGCUCGUAGUUGAAUUUCUGCCUUGUCAUUAAUCUCGCUUCCGAGCGUUUUUUUAUUGACUUGGCAUCUUCUGGAUUUGGUGCCUUCGGGUACUAUUUUCCAGGAUUUACUUUGAGAAAACUAGAGUGUUUCAAACAGGCAUUCGCCUUGAAUACUACAGCAUGGAAUAAUGAAGUAGGACUUUGGUUCUAUUUUGUUGGUUAUUGAGCCAGAGUAAUGGUUAAUAGGAGCAGUUGGGG
rnacentral:rRNA from 1 species